GCGUUUGCUUCGGCAGCACAUUUACUAAAACUGGAAUGAUACAGAUAAGAUUAGUAUGGCCCCUGUGCAAGGAUGACAUGCAAAUUCAUGAAGCGUGUCACAUUUUU
ensembl:snRNA U6 U6 spliceosomal RNA